CGGCGGACGGGUGAGUAACACGUGGGUAACCUACCUAUAAGACUGGGACAACUUCGGGAAACCGGAGCUAAUACCGGAUAAGAUAUCGAACCGCAUGGUUCGAUAGUGAAAGAUGGUUUUGCUAUCACUUAUAGAUGGACCCGCGCCGUACUAGCUAGUUGGUGAGGUAACGGCUCACCAAGGCAACGAUACGUAGCCGACCUGAGAGGGUGAUCGGCCACACUGGAACUGAGACACGGUCCAGACUCCUACGGGAGGCAGCAGCA
rnacentral:rRNA from 1 species